rnacentral:misc_RNA from 1 species
CGCACAUUGCGCCCCUUGGUAUUCCGGGGGGCAUGCCUGUUCGAGCGUCAUUACAACCUUCAAGCUUAGCUUGGUAUUGGGCCUCGCUCCAUGGGGCGUGCCCGAAAAGCAGUGGCGGUCCGGCAUGACUUUGGACGUAGUAAAUAUAUCCUCGUUCUGAAAGUCAUGUCGUGACUCUGCCAAAAAUUCUCUCCUAAGAUUGACCUCGGAUCAGACAGGAAUACCCGCUGAACUUAA